CGGAGACUGCAAGCGUUAUUCGGAUUCACUGGGCGUAAAGGGUGCGCAGGCGGUUGGGUGUGUCAGAUGUGAAAUCCCGAGGCUCAACCUCGGAACUGCGUCUGAAACUACUCAACUAGAGUACUGGAGAGGGUAACGGAAUUCACGGUGUAGCAGUGAAAUGCGUAGAUAUCGUGAGGAACACCAGAGGCGAAGGCGGUUACCUGGACAGUUACUGACGCUCAGGCACGAAAGCAUGGGGAGCAAAAGGGAUUAGAUACCCCUGUAGUCCAUGCCCUAAACGGUGCACACUAGGUCUUAGCGGAUUCGACCCCACUAGGGCCCAAGCUAACGCGUUAAGUGUGCCGCCUGAGGACUACGGUCGCAAGACUA
rnacentral:rRNA from 1 species